ACGUUUAAAUACGAACGACUGUAUGCUGUGUAUGUAUGCUGCGGACGUACAACGGCAUCGUCGUAUAAAACGCGUGUUAUGUGAUAUAUAAUCGGGAAGGCGAAACAAAUCUAUAAAUUCAUCGUCUGUAUUUCUGGAGGCGUGAAUGCAACUAUGAACAGAGAAAAAGAAAAAGAAAAAAGAUUUUCAAUUUCCUUUUUCAGUCCCACGUGAUAGUCGAGAAUUAAUCAAAAGCUUUCGAAUAUCGCAUCCAUGAAUACGAAUGUACGUAACAAUUUCGUUGGCUCAUCCUCACCUUUGACUAUAUCCACUGCUCCAAAUUGGGACUUGGAAUCCUUCCCGUUCGACGCGGUCAAAUGACCUUUGACCCUGAAUCGAAAAACGACACCUCCCACGUCUGGUUCGAAUCUCCGAGCGUAUUAUGUACCUAUAUAUACACACGACUUGAUUUGUUUCUGCAUAGUUUAUACGGCCCAUCGGACGGAUGAUUCUCGUUUCUCCUGGUGCGCAGUCAAAUUUUAGGUCGCGCUUUCAUACCGGCAUCGCGCAUGCGAUGGCAUGAGGAAUUAAUUACUUUCCGUCGAAUUGCGCAACUAUCACUAAAUACUAUUAUAGAUCAGGUUUUGGGCGUACCACGGUAUACGUACAUGUGUACGUAUUGAUAUGUUUUUCCGUUUCACUCUACCCGCUACGACUAUCGGCAAGCGGUCGAUCCGAAAGAGAGAACCUGCGCAUAAUCAUGUUGAAGUUUAUACGGGCGAAUUAUCGGACGCCGUUCGUGAAAUAUCGAAUCGAAUGCCAGUCGUGUCGUGUCAGGAACAACUCACGAGAACCGCACAAUAGCCGGACGAGUGCACUUGUUCGUCAUUUAUCAUCAGUCGAAAUCAAAUUCAACGCAGACAUGCGAAAAGUGAAACUCUUCGAACAUACAAACUAUUAACUCGAGUCGUUUGAGAUACGAAAACACGAUAAUGCUCCUCGAUUGCGGUAACUAUCUUUCAUAUGGACCGAAACCUGCUUCACGACGUUCGUACGCGAUAGGAAAUUAUUUAUCUUCUCUCUUCUCUUCCUAUAAUUUCUUUUCUGCUAUCAAGCAAAUCGAGACUGCGCUACGUUGGAUGGAUACAAAGAGGAGAUUGAUAGUAAUAAUGAUACUUGGACGUUACGCAGCUAUUUAAUAAUUUCGUUUUUCUCGGAUCAACUGGACACGCAGCAGCUACUUAAUCCGUAACUCUCCGGACCACACAUGCGUCCAAAGGAGAUAGGACUUUUGACAUCGAGUUCUCAUGCGCCGGUAUAUUUAAUGACUGUUAGAUUAGAGAGGGGAAAUUUGGGGUAAUCGUGAUUGAAACGCAAACAAAACGUUUGCCCUUAGGCGCCGGGCGACUCGAUCCGCCUCGGCGGUAUGAGCUUGUGCACGGCUUUACCGGCCUUAUAAAAGACGUAAGGUAUAACGAGAGGGAAUAUUGUCACCCCUAUCAUCGCCCGGUAGACGAAAAACCAACAGAAAAAUUAACACGACCCAUGCGUGUAAACGCCUGACGAUCUUGUGUUACGAAUACGGUGUUAAAUGGUUGGGCAAACAUUGAGAGGUUGGAUGGCGUCGGCAGGCGCCGGAUGACGAAGAAGCGAGCCAACUAGAAAAAGGGUUUGUCUCUUUGCCAGCUAGUCUUAGGGCGACAUUGUUAUGGGGGUUUAAACCAGGAUGUUAGUGUUAUACGAAUACCUACAACAAACUGCCAUGUUUGUUUUCCCACAUUGUCCGCAAUCCGGACUCGCUUGUCGGAUACACCCACCUCGACUGAGAGUCUGAAGUUAGCGAUUAAAAAUCUUUUAUAACUGUACAGUUUUGGAAUUUACAAAAACAUCAAACUUAUACACCAACGCCGAUGAAGGAUCGUUUCCCUUUUUCAGCGCAUCUCGAUCAUCGGCCAAAGAAAACCAAGCCGAACCUCCUUCCGGGGGAAGAAUUUUUUAAAAAAUUUGUCGGUUCGUUCCCUGGUGUAAAAGUCCUUCGUUGAACUCUUCGCCCUUUGCGCGUUUCCCUUUCACUCGCUAACGCUCGGCAUUUAGUGCUGGUGGAUGGUUUCGAAUUGAAAUGCGGUUUGUGUAAAAGAGUAAAGUAUAAGCGGUGCUCGUAAAUCGACGGGGCUUUUGUGGAUGAAUCCGUAACGAGGUGCAUGCGGCGGUUUUCGUCGUUUCUUAAAGCGUUGAAUCUCGCGCCCUCCGACGUGCGAUAUGCGUUAUACCUCUCGUAAAGAUCACCUGAGAGACACGUGUAUUCAAAGACACGCGUUUCCCCCGGUUAUAUGUAUACCUACGUAUAUUCGUCUACAUGAGCGGUCAUCAACGAAAGGGAUUACGGCCCGGAGCCACCCAGUGAGACUUAAAUUCCUCUGUGUAUUCAACAUACAUGACGUCCGCCCAUCGCUGGAGGCUCAGGCAGGGGCCACUUUCCGAUUUGAUGGGCAUCGGACCCUCAACGUGUCAGGGCAGAUGAGAAGAGGGAAAAAACGGUUGUCGCAGGCGUAAUCCGAGCCAACAAAAGAGCGGAAUAACUAAAGAGGGGAAGAAGGGCGUCCUUUUCAAAAAAAAAAAAAAAACACGUGGGGGGGCCUUGUCCCCCGCAACACGAGCGUCGACCAGAAUGAAGAAAAACACGUGGGCCAGAUGUCGGAGCUAUAUUAUGUUCUGGCGUAGGAUCGUCUGGGGGUAUUUCUACCCUACCAUUUGAUCACAUGUAAACAACAGUGAGUAUAUGUGGAUACCAAGAUAUUAAAUUGUGCUGUAAACUUGUGCUCUUCCUCACUUUUUCCACUUAAAAUUGAGAACCUUGAUAGCUUGGUCAGCUAAAGAAUCAAGGACAUAGACUGCAUGUUCACCAACACCCUGCUUCAAUUUAUUUGGUGGGAAUUCAAUAGGAACUUCGAUGGCCCUGAGGUGAUCCA